GUUAAAACGCUCGUAGUUGGGUUUCUGUCAGGAACAACCGGUCUGUCCUGAGUGUCAAGUCACUGGUUCGGAACUGGCAUCUUCUUGGGGAACGGGUGCGCACUUCACUGUGCGACCUGGAAACCUUGACGUUUACUUUGAGGAAAUGAGAGUGCCUCAAGCGGGUGUUCGCCACGAAUAUGUUAGCAUGGAAUAAUAGUAUUGGACCUCGGAUCACAGCUGUUGGUUGCUGGAAUCGGGGUGAGGGUAAACAGG
rnacentral:rRNA from 1 species